rnacentral:rRNA from 1 species
AUACGGAGGAUGCGAGCGUUAUCCGGAUUUAUUGGGUUUAAAGGGAGCGUAGGUGGGAUAUUAAGUCAGCUGUGAAAGUUUGGGGCUCAACCUUAAAAUUGCAGUUGAUACUGGUUUCCUUGAGUACGGUACAGGUGGGCGGAAUUCGUGGUGUAGCGGUGAAAUGCUUAGAUAUCACGAAGAACUCCGAUCGCGAAGGCAGCUCACCGGGCCGGAACUGACACUGAUGCUCGAAAGUGCGGGUAUCAAACAGGAUUAGAUACCCUGGUAGUCCGCACAGUAAACGAUGAAUACUCGCUGUUUGCGAUACACUGUAAGCGGCCAAGCGAAAGCGUUAAGUAUUCCACCUUGGGAGUACGCCGGCAACGGUGAAACUCAAAUGAAUUGACGGGG